rnacentral:lncRNA from 1 species
GAUAACUCAGGGAGGAGACUCUUGGCGAGCAGUGUGUAGGGUAUAACUGGGACAUUGGUUGGCCUAGAAAACAUGUUUCAUUGUGCAGACAUGUCUCUUGGGCAGAAUAAGCCAGGCUUUGCUCCAGGCACAAACAUUAAAAAAAAUGAAAUGUGAAAUCAUUUCUAGAGAUUCAUUGUCUCCCCCAAGAGUUCUAAACCCAUUAUGGUCACAGCAUGCCUAAUUGGCGCUUUAGGGGGUAUAUUAAUAGCAAACAUUGUAAAGUUCUUAGAACUAUAUAAAGUCUUCCUUUCAAUUUUGUAAACAUAAUGUAUAACUUUACUGACCUCCUGAAUGAUAACAUUAACAGGGAAAAAUGCAGAGCAUAAUAAUACUUCUGUUAUCACUUAUUGAUAUCCCCUUGGCUUGCCAAUAGUCCCUGUUCCUGUGAUAAGAGGUAAAGGAAACAGAAGACAAAAAUAGGAUUGGUGAUGAGAAGUCAGGUGGCAAGGCCCUCCUUCUUUUCUUCUAAUACCUGUUGGUCUGUUUGUUUUCAGUACCAUGGUGCAGUUAUGAUGCCUUUUCUCUAGUGGUCACUGUUGAAAAGCUGUGUAGUUAGAACUGAACAUAUCUCUGGUGGGGGACAUAAAAUAAGUCCAAUUUUGAUUUUCCCAUCUAACUUUAGGAUUAAAGUUAGAUGGUCAUGUAAAAUUACUGUUAGGGAAUUAAACNUUUAGGGCUGCACUGGCAGCCUAUGGACUGGCUACAGCUUGGAUUCAAUCCCUAGCCUAGGAAUCUCCAUAUGCCAUGAGUGUAGCCCUAAAGAGGCAAAACAUACACACAUACACAAACCCAAACAAACAAACAAAAAAAAAAAACAAAUAGACUUUCAUUUUUUAAAUACCCCUUACAUUAAUGUACAAGAUUCUGUAUUUUUAACUUAAAAUGUUUUUUGUUAGAAUCUAACUAUGAAAUUGUAAUCACUUUUUAGAAGUGUUAGUUUCUCUCUAUGCUGCUUCUACUUUCUUGAUGUCUUCAUCAUUGAAAUUUUAAAAGAGAGAAAAAUCACUUUUCUGCUGUACCCAAGCACCUUUUGAAUAGGUGCCUUUUGAAUUCAGUUUACUGCCUGCUGGGCUCAUUUGCCAAGAUUCCUUUGAGGCACAACUCUUAGCUUUCUAAGUUUUGAAUUAAAAGGUAUUUCUCAGUUACCUCAAAUUAUGUCUCAGAUGAUCCAGCUGGCCAAACAAGGCUGGGAUGAGUGGUACGGGUCUCGUCUUCAUAAGAUGAAGGAUGCAAGCCACUAAUUUGGCCCCCCAAGGAUAGAGAAUGAAUAGAUCUUUAUCCUUUUACUCCACCCCUCACACUCCUGUUCACCUCUUUCAUGUCUUUUGAUUGAAGGAGACGGCUUCUGUUACUGUUCAAUGAGUGGAAAAAUGACUCCCCUGUGUGUGUCUGGGACUUUGUGUCUCGGGCGGGUGGGGUGGUGCUCACAUUGAUCACUCUGCAGAGGUGUGUUCGCUAGUCCAGCCAUUUUCCAAAUCAAACCAGGUCUCUCUGGGAGCCCUUUGUGAUCCGUUUAUUUACUCAUUAGGUUUCAUUUUAUUUUUGUUUUUUCCCCGACCAGACACUGUUCUUCUGACCCAUGAGAAGACCUGUGUUCCCCACUUAACAUGGUCUCUCCGAAGCACUCCUUUUCCUGUCCUGACUGUAAGAAUGAGCUACAUUUCCUUUUUCCAUGUCCCUGAUAGGCUGGUGCUAAGUUGCAUCCAUGGUGAAGAAAUUUUAAACAAGUCAAAAGAUGUGAGAUUCUGUCCAACUGUGAUUCUUGGAAUUCAGUAGUUAAGUUAUGGAACUAAAAUAGGCUUAAGAAUUUGGAGUGUAGGGCACUUGUUUGCCAAUUUAGAGUUUUUAGGUAGGAAAAGCGGCAAAUGGUUAUUUUUUUUCCUAUUUAUCAUCUGGCACUCAUUUUAUUACUAGCACUUAUUGUAAAUUACAGGGUUAAUGUAUUUAUUCAAACCUUUAAUAGUUCUGCUCCCUACCAAAUUUGUCUCUUAACUGCAUGGAAAAUAUUCUCCAUACCAAACUUAGGAGAAGUGUAUUUUAUUUCCCCUUAAAAUAUUUUUGGAAUUUGAGGCACUGAAUGGUUUGUGUUUCUGUAGGUACAUGAAUGCCAAUAUAUUUCCCAAUGAAGCAAAAUUGAAAAGACGUACAUACAGAAAUGCAUUGCAAGUAUGUGAGGGUAUCUAGGGGUAUAAUAUUGCUUCAUUUUUGAGAGCUCUGAUUAAACAGACACUUUCUGCAGCACUGACUUUGUACAGAUGGCAGGACUUAAACCAGAGAUGCUGAAAGGGCUCUCUGAAAUUAAGCCAAGAAAUGGAUCAA